rnacentral:rRNA from 1 species
GCGCGAAAACUUUACAAUGCGGGAAACCGCGAUAAGGGGACACCGAGUGCCAGCAUCCUAUGUUGGCUGUCCAUAUGUAUAAAUCACAUGUGUUAGCAAGGGCCGGGCAAGACCGGUGCCAGCCGCCGCGGUAACACCGGCGGCCCGAGUGGUGGCCACUAUUAUUGGGUCUAAAGGGUCCGUAGCCGGUUUGGUCAGUCUUCCGGGAAAUCUGACGGCUCAACCGUUAGGCUUUCGGGGGAUACUACCAGGCUUGGGACCGGGAGAGGUAAGAGGUACUACGGGGGUAGGAGUGAAAUCUUGUAAUCCCUGUGGGACCACCAGUGGCGAAGGCGUCUUACCAGAACGGGUCCGACGGUGAGGGACGAAAGCUGGGGGCACGAACCGGAUUAGAAACCCGAG